AAACUCAAAUGAAUUGACGGGGACCCGCACAAGCAGCGGAGCGUGUGGUUUAAUUCGUUGCUACACGAAGAACCUUACCUGGGUUUGACAUAUAGGUUGUAGGGAACUGAAAAGGGACCGACCUUCGGGGAGCCUAUACAGGUGUUGCAUGGCUGUCGUCAGCUCGUGUCGUGAGAUGUUCGGUUAAGUCCGCUAACGAGCGCAACCCUCGUCGUAUGUUAUAUGUGUCAUACGAGACUGCCGGUAAAAGCCGGAGGAAGGUGAGGAUGAUGUCAAGUCAGCAUGACCUUUAUAUCCAGGGCUACACACACGCUACAAUGGUCUGUACAACGGGUAGCCAAGCCGCGAGGCGGAGCCAAUCCUGAAAGCAGGCCUCAGUUCAGAUUGCAGUCUGCAACUCGACUGCAUGAAGCCGGAGUUGCUAGUAACCGCAGGUCAGCAAUACUGCGGUGAAUACGUUCCCGGGUCUU
rnacentral:rRNA from 1 species